GACAGGAACUAUUUUUUUCAUGGCAUAGGAGGCUACUUCCUGUAGUGCACUCGAGGUGUUUAUAAACACAGUGAAAACACGUGGAUUUGAGGGUAACCCUGUUUGCAGAUGGAAAAAGUCCGAAAAUGCCGUGUGGGUACCCUGUUUUUUGGUGUCAGCAAAUGUGACAGGAGGCUACUUCCUGUAGUGCACUCGAGGUGUUUAUAAACACAGUGAAAACACGUGGAUUUGAGGGUAACCCUGUUUGCAGAUGGAAAAAGUCCGAAAAUGCCGUGUGGGUACCCUGUUUUUUGGUGUCAGCAAAUGUGACAGGAGGCUACUUCCUGUAGUGCACUCGAGGUGUUUAUAAACACAGUGAAAACACGUGGAUUUGAGGGUAACCCUGUUUGCAGAUGGAAAAAGUCCGAAAAUGCCGUGUGGGUACCCUGUUUUUUGGUGUCAGCAAAUGUGACAGGAGGCUACUUCCUGUAGUGCACUCGAGGUGUUUAUAAACACAGUGAAAACACGUGGAUUUGAGGGUAACCCUGUUUGCAGAUGGAAAAAGUCCGAAAAUGCCGUGUGGGUACCCUGUUUUUUGGUGUCAGCAAAUGUGACAGGUAAUGUUUAACACCUCCUGCUAAAUAUUUUUUCAUGUAAACAAAUACCUGAUUUUUAACGAUUUUUUAUUCUAUAUAGAAUUAUAUAGUGAAAACAAU